UGGGGAAUAUUGGACAAUGGGGGAAACCCUAAUCCAGCCAUGCCGCGUGAGUGAUGAAGGCCUUAGGGUUGUAAAGCUCUUUCGACGGGGACGAUGAUGACGGUACCCGUAGAAGAAGCCCCGGCUAACUUCGUGCCAGCAGCCGCGGUAAUACGAAGGGGGCUAGCGUUGUUCGGAAUUACUGGGCGUAAAGCGCACGCUGGCGGUGAUCAUAGUCAGAAGUGAAAGCCCUGGGCUCAACCCGGGAAUUGCUUUUGAUACUGGGUCACUAGAAUCACGGAGAGGGUAGUGGAAUUCCGAGUGUAGAGGUGAAAUUCGUAGAUAUUCGGAAGAACACCAGUGGCGAAGGCGACUACCUGGCCGUCGAUUGACGCUCAUGUGCGAAAGCGUGGGGAGCAAACA
rnacentral:rRNA from 1 species